UUUUGCACGGGGACUCUUUUUAUGCUUAUUUUUUCUUUUCUUUUACAUAUUCUGAAAUAUCCAUAAGCUUCUAGUAUUUUAAUAGCAAUAUUCUAUUCUUUUUUUUUUAGCACGUCGAAUGCCAAGAAUAAUAAUACUCUGUAAUUGCAAUAAAUUACUCAAGAUAUAAUACAUUUUUCUUUAACUAGCCUAGUUAGCCUUCAUUGACUUUACUAAAUUUUUUUAGGUAUUUGCAUAAGCGGGGACCAAUACAUAUUUUGGGGAGGGUAGAUCCACCCUACUCCUACUUAAUUAGACUAAUUUAGUUCGUGGUAUCAGUGACUGAUAAUCCCCUUGGCAUUCAACGUGUUAAUAUAAUUGUAGAAACUUUUGGAUACUCUCUGCAAUGCUAGAUAUUUUUAGGUAUGUCUUUUCUUUCAAUUCUAGCUUAUUGUCAGUUUUUUUUAGCACAUUGAUCAUCAAGUAUUAGGUGUAUGUACAUGAAAUCCACAGAGUACAGCAAAAUACAUGGUUUAAUUUAAUUUUAUUUUAUUUUAUAAAGAAGUUUAUCCUAUAUACGCUAUAUUCGACAAAGGUUUGCCAAUGAUUUUAUACGCUUAUAAACCAUAAUUGUAUUUUAACGUUCAAUAGAGUACAUGCAUUCUCUGUGGCCCAAUAUCGUGUUUGCUUCGUCAAAUAACGUACGCUCUUUGAAAAUUCAGUGAUCUCAAUUUUGAACGAGUAAUACGCUUUGAUUGCUACUCGCAAUCCGUAAACAACUCGAAUUUUGUAAACAUACAAAUUUUCACGUGAAAAUGUCAAACUACUAAUUGUUUAUUAAUCAUAAAUUAUACUGCACUCUCUGUAUAAAUAUAAAACAUUUCAAAUAUUUUAGUCCAAACUUAAUUUUUCAUUUUUUCAAUAGAAUUUAAUUAAAAUAUACUUGAGAUCAAUGUGUUAAAUAUUUUUAAUUAAUUCUCAAUUUAUUAGAUUCAGUUAACUCUCGUACGGUGGACCACGAAAAGAGCUUCAAUUUUAAUUCAAUUUUGUAUUUCACAUUAUUUUCAAACUAUUCUUUUAGAUAUUAUUUGCAAUUUAAAAAAUUAAAUGGCUAUUUUUAAUUCAAACAUAAUUGAACUUUUCAUAGUUCCGGGUCACGAUUGACCUGGCUCCAUCGUUUAAGGGUUAACGUUAAUUUUCCGAUUGAAAGUUUGAUGAAAAGUUAAAGUUUAAUUGGAGCCCGUAUUUGAUCAACUUUAUAACAAGUACUCCACCUUAUAAAUUGAGAAUUAAUUUACAAAAGGGGUUCAUGGUAAGCAUGAUUAGAUUUGUUCUUUUUGAAAUUCUAAACUGAAAGCACUAUGCAUAUUGUUUCUGUACUGCACAAAAUUUCACUUUCUUACAUAGCAAUUUAUCAUCUGUAAAAAAUGUCUGCUAUUUGUCUUCAGUUUCGUCGAAAUCGUGUGAUAGAAUAUUCAGUAAAAAACAAAAAGUACGAAAUGAAUAUUUAACGACGCUUUGAAUUUGAAUAACACUCAUAUUUUAUUUGCUAUGGUAUUCACGCUUUUAAACGUUCGUUUUUCGUGCUAUUGGAAAAAAAAAAAAAAGAAAAAUGCAAAUAUUUCAUUUUUGGG